GCCGGGGUGGCAGAGUGGAAAUGCGCUGGACCCCUAAUCCAGUGGCCCUUUGGGCCUCGGGGGUUCAAAUCCCUCCCCCGGCGCCA
rnacentral:tRNA from 1 species